rnacentral:lncRNA from 1 species
AGAGAAUCAGGGGGAAAAAAUGAAGGCACGAUUUAUUUUCUUUCAUAUUGGGACCAAAGUACUGCUUAGAAAGCCAAGGUUUGGCAUGACGGUGGACUGUGCUGAGCUGUGGCAGGGCCCGGUGCUGGAGCUCAGUUCUUCAGGUUUGGUUGCUGGUGACUUUACCUGCCAAGUCUUCUGGACAGCUCCCUCCUCUUUAUUUUAUUAAUAAGCGAUCCUACAAUGUUAUGAAACAAUCACAGCUGCUUUGAAGAACAGGGUAAAUCCAGUCUCAAGUUAAAAACCUGAUUGCUUUAAGAGUCAUCCUUGAAGGGUGUGAUGCUUUGGGGUUUGUAAAGAACAAGAGACGGAGGAUGGAUUUUAAUCUCCAUUAUGACUCGUCUUGGGUUGAUUGGAAACCCUGGCAUCUCAGAAGAAUUCUCAUUU